rnacentral:lncRNA from 10 species
GGAGAGGGAGAGGCAGGAACAGGAAAGGAGGAAGGAGAGUGGGAGGGAGGGAGAGAAAGGGAGGAAGAAGGAAGGGAGAGGGAGGAGCAGGAAGGGAGGAGGGAGUGACACUGUAGAAAGACAGAACACUGAGGGGACAUGUGGCCCAGGUCACCUCAAGGACAUGGGGACCCUGUGGAGACGGGACACUGAUAUUGUCUGUCCCUAUGUGUCUAUCUCACUGUCCUGUCUCUCCUGCUUCCAUGGCCACCAGCCUCUGUGGGCUGACACUGAGGGAGGGACACUGAGCAUGGCUCCUGUGGGUCUGUGGGCCUGUGCUCUGGUCUGGCCGCACGCUGUUGGUGGGCUGUGGCACUAGGCUGGUGCCCUGCCUGCAGUCUGUUGUCACCACUGCCCUCACACAGCCAGAGGAAAACAGCUGAACAUAGACACUAGCGGGAGGGACAUGCCGGGAGACAGACAGAGACAGGGAGAGGAAGAGAUAGGGAGAGGAAAGGAGAGAGACGGAGAAAGAUGGAGGGAGACAGAGAGAGAGAGAUUGAGAGACAGAGGGGAAGAUAGAGACAGAGGGGGGAAGCAGAGAGACAGAGACAGAGGGAGACAGAGAGUGGCAGAGAGGUAAGACAGAGAGACAGAAACAGAGAGACAGACUGAAAGAGAGAGCCGCAAAGCAGACUGGGGGCUGCCGAGCCUGGCGUGAGCACCUGCACCUGCCACUUUGCAAGGGAAGAAGAGGGGACAGAGGGCAGGGGUGCCUAGGACGUGACUUUGGGGAGGGCAGGGGUGAACCAGUGGCAUCUAGGGGAGGGCCUGUCACCCAGGGGCUGGCGGGGGGUAGCUCUCCCGAGGGCAGCAGAAGGUCCUCAGCCUGGCCCAGUGCCCUGCACUUCUGCCCUGUGCCCCCUGUCUGGCCCCCUGUGUCAGCGGCCAGGCAGGGUGGGUACAGCCUGUGACCCUGCUGUCAUACGCCUGUUGGAGCUACCCCAUCCCUUCCUCUCAUCCUGGUCCCUCCCCCUGCUCUGGCCACUCCCCUGUGGUUCUCUGAGACCCCCCUCUCCGGCUCUCCCACCUGCACCCCCUGGCCCACUGUCACUUGACCUAUGUUAGCUGUGAGAGGUGGCCUGUGUGCCUAAGCCUGCGCUUGAGUGUUUCAACCAUUGUUUGCUGCCUCUGUGGUCGUCGUGGGUCAGGAUUGGGGCCUGGCUUGGGCGGGGCAUCUGCGAGGGGAAUGGGCUCAAGCCCCCUCGAGUUGGGGCCAGCUGUUGGCCAGAGGCCUCGGUUUCUCUGCAUGGGAAUCUCUCUACGGUGC